UACGGAGGGUGCGAGCGUUGUCCGGAAUCACUGGGCGUAAAGGGCGCGUAGGUGGCAGGGCAAGCGUGCGGUGAAAGCCCGGGGCUCAACUCCGGGUCGGCCGUGCGAACUGCCGUGCUCGAGCAUGGUAGAGGCAGGUGGAAUUCCGGGUGUAGCGGUGGAAUGCGUAGAGAUCCGGAAGAACACCGGUGGCGAAGGCGGCCUGCUGGGCCAUGGCUGACACUGAGGCGCGACAGCGUGGGGAGCAAACAGG
rnacentral:misc_RNA from 1 species